AUGGCUCUGAUCACAGCAUCACGAAGUCAGGCUGGGAGCAGUUCAAGAAACACGGAGGCCCAUUGAACUCAAGGAACUGUCACAAGUUCUCCAGGAUGGAGUGGAACAGACGGGAAGAACUUUGACAAACUUUUCAUUUUCGUUGUGCCAAAGCUUCGUAACGGUGGCAGUUCUCUACCUGUAAGGGCUGACUGCAAAGGGAUGCAGCUGGUCACCCUCCGAGAUUAUAAUCACACAUCCCGUCUCUGAAGUGACCUUCUUUUCCAAGCAGCUGGCAAUUGCUCCGUGCCAAAGAGUCCUGGCCUCUACGCACUCACAUCAGCUGACGGGGAACAUGGAAGUCCUGCCUGCACAAAAUCUAUCUCAGAAACAAGAUGCACUGAAUAACCACGCUUGAGGAACCCAAGAAAAAAAGGAAAGGUUGUCCUAUUUUCCAUCUGACUCAGCUCUGCAGAAUGUUCUCAUUUUCUCCAUGUAGGAGACACACCUGCCGGUUUUCCUCCAAGCACCGAAAACAAAUUUUAAAUCAUUCUGCCCUGCUUAUCCAUCUGUCUUGAUCCUGUCUCCAUCAUUCAGAGAGGAAGAAUUGUCAAGCUUUCUGUUGAACGCCUCUCGUUCUUCACCUCUAAUCUCUAUUCUGAUUUUCAAGAAUAAAAUAAGUGUUAUUCAUAAAGUAUAUUUAUUUAAUUUUAUUUAAAUGUGUCUGCAAAACCCCAUAAAAUACAUCAAACGUAUCUUAAAUUAGGUCUACUUCCGCGUCCAGGAUUUGGAAUGCAUGUGGUUUGGACACAGU